CGGGGUGCACCAGGCGCGAAAACUUUACAAUGCGGGAAACCGUGAUAAGGGGACACCGAGUGCCAGCAUCAUAUGCUGGCUGUCCGGGUGUGUAAAAUACACCUGUUAGCAAGGGCCGGGCAAGACCGGUGCCAGCCGCCGCGGUAACACCGGCGGCCCGAGUGGUGAUCGUGAUUAUUGGGUCUAAAGGGUCCGUAGCCGGUUUGGUCAGUCCUCCGGGAAAUCUGAUAGCUCAACUAUUAGGCUUUCGGGGGAUACUGCCAGACUUGGAACCGGGAGAGGUAAGAGGUACUACAGGGGUAGGAGUGAAAUCUUGUAAUCCCUGUGGGACCACCUGUGGCGAAGGCGUCUUACCAGAACGGGUUCGACGGUGAGGGACGAAAGCUGGGGGCACGAACCGGAUUAGAUACCCGGGUAGUCCCAGCCGUAAACGAUGCUCGCUAGGUGUCAGGCAUGGCGCGACCGUGUCUGGUGCCGCAGGGAAGCCGUGAAGCGAGCCACCUGGGAAGUACGGCCGCAAGGCUGAAACUUAAAGGAAUUGGCGGGGGAGCACAAGGGCGAAUCGC
rnacentral:rRNA from 1 species